GCCCUUCGUACAUCAGCUGAUAUCUCAAAGUGCUGUACAGAAACCCAGCCUAAAACCCCAAACAGAAAGCAAUGCAUGUGAAAGAAGCACGGUGGCUAGGAAAAACUCCCUAGGAAAAACUCCCUAGAAAGGCCAAAAUGCUAGGAAGAAACCUAGAGAGGAACCAGGCUAUGAGGGGUGGCCAGUCCUCUUCUGGCUGUGCCGGGUGGAUAUUAUAACAGAACAUGGUCAAGAUGUUAAAAUGUUCAUAAAUGACCAGCAUGGUCAAAUAAUAAUAAUCAUAGUAGUUGUCGAGGGUGCAACAAGCACGUCCGGUGAACAGGUCAGGGUUCCAUAGCCGCAGGCAGAACAGUUGAAACUGGAGCAGCAGCACGGCCAGGUGGACUGGGGACAGCAAGGAGUCAUCAUGCCAGGUAGUCCUGAGGCAUGGUCCUAGGGCUCAGGUCCUCCGAGAGAAAGAGAGAGAGAAUUAGAGAGAGCAUAUUUAAAUUCACACAGGACACCGGAUAAGACAAGAGAAAUACUCCAGAUGUAACAGACUGACCCUAGCCCCCCGACACAUAAACUACUGCAACAUAAAUACUGGAGGCUGAGACAGGAGGGAUCAGAAGACACUGUGGCCCCAUCCCAUUUUACAUUGAAAUACAGAUAGAGAUGUAGUUAGUCCCAGAGUUAAUGAUCCAAGGUCAGUUUAUAUUAUACAGGAAGUAUUAUUAAAGAGAUGCUUUUACAUUGAAAUACAGAUAGAGAUGUAGUUAGUCCCAGAGUUAAUGAUCCAAGGUCAGUUUUGUAUUUCACCUCCUGAUGAUUAUGAUGACUGACCGUGUUAGAAUAAAAUAUAUUUUAAAAAACAAGGGUGAAACAUGCUAAUUCCAUCUUGUCUCUCGUCUGCAGGUAUGAUUUGAUGUGAGGAUGCCAACCCCCAGUCCUGUCAUCGCCACCUCACCUGCUUGAAGAUAACCUUCGGUCUGACGAGAGACACUAUUAUGUAAUUGUGAUGAACUGAGAGAAUAUUUAGGUAGCACUGUGAUUCAUUAAUCAUUUGCUGCCUUCCCUGCUCCUAUGUUCUUACCUCUUUCCCUUUCUGUCUUUUACACCUCUCUCACCACCUCCUCUUUCUUCCUCUGUUUUUAUAAUGCACAAUAUAGAUGUGCAUUGAAGUAAAGAUAAAACUUACAUUUAUAAUAUAAUAUUCCAAUUAUAAUAUUUAUAAUGCAUGUAUUUAUAACACUUGGAUAAUGAAAUUCUUUCAAUAAAGCAUUUCAAAUUCUCUACUGGUUGAAAUUAAGUCUCAUUUGAUGAAAUACCACACCUAUCCUGUGUUUAUCAGAUCCAUGCAGAUGAAGGAAAUUAGAUAUUGAGAUGACCUGUUGUUAGAGUAUUUACAUGAUGCAUAAGAAGUGUAGUGUGCUGAUUUUUUAAUUAUAUUUCUGUAUAUAUGAAUUACAAAUCGGCCUUUAACUAGUUAAAUCAUGUGUAACCAUUGAUAUCCCAGGACCAAGAUUGGUAAACACUGUUGAAGUGUAUAAUUGUAAUACAUACAUGCAUUGAAGACACGGCAUCAUUCAAAGACUGGAAUUUGAUACUCCUGGUAUUGGAUAUGACUGAAAAAUGAUCUCAAAGACAUUCAUACCUGAACUGCACCUUUAUUUGCCAAGGUAGAGUACAUGAUCAGUGAAUAUUUAUUAUUAUUAUAUAUAUUUUAAAUUUUUCACCCCUUUUUUCUCCCCAAUUUUGUGGUAUCUAAUUGGUAGUUACAGUCUUGUCUCAUCGCUGCAACUCCCGUACGGACUCGGGAGAGGCGAAGGUCGAGAGCCGUGCGUCCUCCGAAACACAAUCCAACCAAGCCGCACUGCUUCUUGACACAACGCCCAUCCAAACCGGAAGCCAUCCGCACCAAUGUGUCGGAGGAAACACCGUACACCUGGCGACAUGUGUCAGCGUGCACUGCGCCUGGCCCGUCACAGAAGUUACUAGUGCGCGAUGAGACAAGGAUAUCCCUGCCGGCCAAACCCUCCCUAACCUGGACGACGCUGGGCCAAUUGCGCACCGCCCCAUGGGCCUCCCAGUCGCGGCCGGCUGCGACAGAGCCUAGACUCGAACCCAGAAUCUCUUAGACCACUGCGCCACUCGGGAGGCCCAUGAUCAGUGAAUAUAUUAAAUGUACAGGCUACAAUGUGGGGAUCUCAUGCAUGGUAAUAACUACAUGUAUAUACGACUUGCAUCCUUGGCACAAAGUGAAAUUAUAUUGUACUCAAUCCAUAGGCUUCAUUAGUGUCAUUCAGGCUGUUUUGAAGUUGAUACAACUGGCUAUGAUAGCUGAGGUUCAUAGCUACGUGGGUGCUGAACUAAUAUGUAUACCAAACGUUUUAAGGUCCAUACACAGAUCGGCUACAUAGCGAGCUACACAUCCAGGUACCUUUAUCCUCCACUGCACAAUAAGCAAGAAAAUAGUUAGCUAGCUAUGUUAUUUCAUCUAUCUGCAUUGCAUGGCAAAAAUCAGCAAGGCAAGCUUACAAAAUUGUACACUCAAUUUGCAGUAAAUGCUUCAGCUAGAUAGAUUCUUUACAUCCACUGUUUCACAAGAUGACUGCCUGGUAUGCUAUCGGUUGAUUCAGGAGUCCCUAAAACAUGAAACAACCAGAAUUACAAUUUCAUACUAGUGUCACCACACCCAUAAAGCUAGCCUGCUGGCUGGCUAAUGUUAGUUAGUCAGCUAGCUUGCUAAAUCACAAUUUUCGUAAAUUAACUUAAUAAUAAAUAAAAAAAAUAUGCGUAAUCGUUUGUCUCUAUAUUAACUAACAUAUUCCUCUCAACUGUACAUUUUUUUGCAUGAUUCGUUAUGACAUUAUAAUCACAUUUGCUUCCAUCCUGGUAUUUUUGUCAGCCAUCUUUGCUGAAGAAAG
rnacentral:lncRNA from 1 species